UACAGAGGGUGCGAGCGUUGUCCGGAAUCACUGGGCGUAAAGGGCGCGUAGGUGGUGGCUUAAGCGUGCGGUGAAAGCUCGGGGCUCAACUCCGAGUCGGCCGUGCGAACUGGCAAGCUUGAGCGUAGUAGAGGCAGGUGGAAUUUCGGGUGUAGCGGUGGAAUGCGUAGAUAUCCGAAAGAACACCGGUGGCGAAGGCGGCCUGCUGGGCAGUGGCUGACACUGAGGCGCGACAGCGUGGGGAGCAAACAGG
rnacentral:rRNA from 1 species